rnacentral:rRNA from 1 species
GACGAACGCUGGCGGCGUGCUUAACACAUGCAAGUCGAACGAAGUGGCGAACGGGUGAGUAACGCGUCAUCAACCUUCCCUUCAGAGGGGGACAACAGUUGGAAACAACUGCUAAUACCGCAUACUGAAGGGGGGGAUUUCGUCUGCUUAGAUAGUUGGAGGGGUAACGGCCCACCAAGGCGAUGAUCAGUAGCCGGUCUAGAAGGUUGAACGUCACAAUUGGGACUGAGACCCGGCCCAGCCUCCUACGGGAGGCAGCAGUGGGAAAUCUGCCGCAAUGAACAAAAGUCGGACGGAGCAACGCCGCGGGAGUGAUGACGGCCUUCGGGUUGUAAGGGACUUUUGUCAGGGAAGCGGUACCUGAAGAAUAAGCACCGGCUAACUACGUGCCAGCAGCCGCGGUAAUAC